rnacentral:rRNA from 1 species
AUGGAAGCCGUAAGUGUGGCUCCAAGGGUUCUGUCAUUUCCCGUAUUGAAUGAAAUUACAAAAGGUUUCUCUAAUGACAUGAAAGUUGGCGCUGGUUCGUAUGGAAAUGUUUAUAAGGGACAGCAUGCAGAUGGGAAAAUGAUUGCUGUGAAGGUGCUUCAUUAUAUUCCAGGACUUGAUGAUGAGCAAUUUCAGAAGGAGUAUCGUAAUCUCGCGAAUCUUCAACACGAAAAUAUUGUGCGAUUAAUUGGCUAUUGCCAUGAAACUUUUGGAGAAUUCAUAGAUUAUAAGGGGGAAAAGAUUUUAGCUCAGACGAUAAAGAGGGCGCUUUGCUUCGAGUAUAUGCAAAAUGGAAGCCUUGAUAGCUAUAUAUCUGAUGAAUCUAGUGGACAUGAUUGGAGUACACGCUAUGCAAUUAUUAAGGGGAUUUGUCAGGGUUUGAAAUACCUUCACGAGGAAUUGGUUCCUCCUAUGUGGCAUUUGGAUUUAAAACCAGGCAAUAUAUUGCUAGAUGAGAAUAUGGUGCCAAAGAUCGCGGACUUUGGCUUGUCAAGGCUCUUCGGAGGAGAACAAACACAUAUAUGA